GCUUUGUCAGCCUCUCCAGUCACAACAUUCUCCUUGCCGCACCGCACCCCAGGAGAGGGAAUUCUGAUGUGAAGCCCAGUCCCUCCUCUCCGCAUCAAUGAAAAUAACAGUAACGAUGGUGCUGGGAAUCAACAUCCUUCAGAUCUGG